GAACUUAUUUUAGCAGGUUCAUUUGCCUCAGUGGGGAAUACAGGACUUUGGCCUAAUGCUUCACCUUUAGUGCAGGCCAUUUGAGCCUUAGAACAAAUACCAAUCAUCACUCUUUGGGAAAAAGGAAUCUGCAUCGGCGUGCCCUAUUGGAAUGGGGUUUCUGUCAAGGUAAACGGUUGUCGGCAAUGACUGUGGUAGAGUGGCGAUAAAUCCCAUUUUAUUGCUGAAAAAUUCCAGCUUCUCUCCAUGCCUGACAGCUCCCCACAUUCUCAUACCCAUUUGGGCAAUUUCUGCACUAUGUCCAUCUGGUUCUCAUUACCUCUCAACCUGCCUGCGUCUGAUCCAGAGAAAGAGCAGAUUGCAUUCUUACCCAAAUACUCUUCGCGAUUGCCUGCUUUGCGGCUUUGGGAUUCUUCAGAUAGAUUGAAACAUUCACAUAGAUUGAUACCUCAGUUUUCUCAGCAUGUCAAAUCCAGCUUUUUAUUUGCUGACAACUAACUCAAAAAUCAAAACUUGGUAUUUCAAGGAGAUCUGAAGUUAGAAACCAGUUGUCCACGUCACUGGCUCUUCACCUUGCAGUCUCCUCUGUGGUGAAGCCAUGCAGGACAGAGGUCUCUGAGCACAGCAGGAGCCUGCACCCUGAUGUUCUACCCACCACUGUGGACCCAUGACACGAGCCAGUCAGUGUGGUUCUCAAGCCCCCGGUACCGGGCACACUAUGUGAGCGGUACAGUCACACGCGUGUCAAAGCACGGACCAAAUCUCAUUCAACUCUGAGGUCCUUGACUCAGUUUACUUGUUGUAUUGGGAAAGCAUUGUGACUUUUCCUCCUUAGUAUAACAUCUUGAAAAUCCAUCACUCAAACAAAGAAAGAUCCUGCCAUGACCUUUCUUCUAGAUUGAUUUGCCUUUAGCUAUGGGAAUGGAAAGUCUUUCCAAAAGGUUUUCUCUCCUCCCACCCAAGGCCAUAGUAACCUUUCUAAAUGCCAUUUGAAUCCUGUUGAUUCCUUCCUCAAAUCCCUCAAUUGCUCUUCCUUGAGUAUGGGGUAAGAGGCCCGUCUACUGCACAAGGGGUAACCUGGCCUCUGACCUUUAUAAAUUCAAUGCUUCCCCUCAUUUGCUAUCUUUUUUAUUCCCCAUGCCCUGCUUUUGGGUGGAUUAUUUCUUCUGAGGUUAAGAUAUUUCUUUGCUUUCUUUGCUAGGCUAAAUCCUUUAAACUCAAGUGAUUCAUCUUCUGGGAAGUCUGUCCUAAACCCCAAGCUGGGCAGGAUGGCCCCCUCAGAGCCCACCUGGCACUCAUGGCUUCCCAUUGCAGCCUUAGCUACACUGUGUUGUACUUGCCUUUUGGUGUUUAUGUUUCUCACUGUUCUGGAAGCUUCUGAGGACAGGCCCUGGAUCUUUCAUUUUGGCAAACUCCUGCACCCAGCCCAGAGUCUGGUAUAUAGGAACAAGGUCAAUACAUGUUUACUGAAUAAGCAAAUGAAUGAAGCCUAAAUUUGACAAGUUCUCCCAUGAGAUAAUUAGGGACACCACCAACCUAGAGGUAGAUUGAUAGCUAGUUGAAAACUGUUCCAAAAGAAAUCGGAGAAGGCAGGCCUAGAUCAGACAACUGAUACAAAUGAUGAUUUAUAAGAAUUAGAAAGGAUAUGAGCUAAGAUGCAGGGGCUACUGAACUCGAGGAGGGUUUUCACCCCCAAAUAAUUUAAUUUCAAAAUGGAUGAGGUGUACAAUUCUGCUUUUAGGGCAAAUAAGUUCAUCAAAUUAAUACAAAUUGUGGGAGGAGAACUUGUCUGAAUGUUACUCACAAUGAGCCAAGAGUGUGAUUGAAGCUAAAAUUUUAUUGUUAUUAACUGUUUAUUGUUAUUAAUUACUGAGCACCUGGAAUCUCUUAGGCAUUUUCAAUAGACACUUUAACUUAAUAACUCAGUGUGAGUUAGCCCUCGCCACAUCUCUGAGAAGUGGGUAACGUGCUAUUGGCCCUGUGCGAAUGGGGACACUGAGGCUCAGGGAGAGUAAACCACCAGCCCAAGGUCACAGAGCUAAAAGGGACAGCAUGACUGGGCGACUCCUGAAGUCACGGAUUGAAGGGUGGUAUUGACAAACUAGAGCACAUUCUGGGGAGUGGGGCUGAUGCGCAUUUCUUUUCUAACAGUGUGACAACAAUCACAUUCUGGUCUCCUCCUCCUAUUUCCAAACCAACUGAGGAAUACACAAAAAUGUCAGACAAAUAUAAAUCCAAACGUCAGCUUUUUCAGAGGAAGCUGGUUAAAUACACACACUAAUCCUGUACCCCAACCCCAGCAGUAAAUGCAGCUGCCAGAACUGCAGGUUCACCUGGAAGGGGCCAAGCCUGCCUGGCAGGGCCCCCACAGGCAGGGACAAAACCUGGCUCCACAGGCAGCUCCUGAGCAGUGGACGCCGCAGGCCUGUGUGGCUUAGCCCCUAGGAUCAGUGACGCCUCCCAGGCAAGCCGCGCCCCUCCUAUGGGCAGGAAUGGGUCAGAGAGAGGCCAGAGUGUGACUCUAAAGCUCCUCAGGGACACAGAAAGCCCAGGAAUGAAGUCCUAGUCCCUAGUGGUGGCCAGGAUGCUAACUGACAUAUCAGUGGCACCAAAAGGUAGAAAGACUGGUGUGAUGGUUAAAUUUAUGUGUCAAAUCAACUGAGCUGUGGUACCUGGAUGUUUGGCCAAAUACCAAUUGAGACGUUGCUGUGAAGGUACUUUUUAGAUGUGAUUGACAUUUAAAUCAGUAGACUCUGAGUAAAGCAGAUUACUCUCCAUGAUGUGGGUGGCCCUCAUCCCAUCAGUUGAAGGCAUUAAAAGCAAAGACUGAGGUUUCCAGAAGAAAAAGAAGUACUCCUAAAGACUGCAACAUCCACUCAUACAUGAAUUCUCAUCUGCCCUACAGAUUUCGGAGUUGCCCAUCUCCCCACUGUGAGCCAAUCUUUCUCCGUUUCUAAAUAUAUAUAUGUAUGUACCUAUGUAUAUAUACAUAGGAGUAUCUCCCAUUGGUUCUGUUUGUCUGGAGAAGGCUGGCUAAUACAACUGGGGAUGUUGAAUAUGCAGCUGAGGAAUUAGCGUGGUGAUCACGGAAGCCAUGUUCACAUUUCUGAUGGGUUCCCACAGGGCAAGCUAUUGGGCUCACUCAAUGUGUCCCGUCAGCGUGGACUUUCUUGAGAUGCUUUUAGCACUUGAAAUGGUUUCACUGGAGCAUGACCGUCCUUGUUAGAGAAAAAAUGCUCAGGUUGUGAGGAGGCUGACUCGGACAGCUGCCUAUUAGGGUCACUUUAAACUCUUUUAAGGGUAGUGACACUAUCUUAUGCUUCUGUUAAAUAAUUCCAAUGCCAUUUUUUCAUGUUUUAAUGUCUAUUAGUUUUAGACAUUAAAACUAAUGUCUAAAACUUUCAUGUCUAUUACUUUAUUGGCUUUCCAACAGUGUCUAGCACACAAUUAGACAAUUAUAGAAUUGAAUUGAGAGUGUAAUAAUGGCUAAUUAGGAACCAAAUUUUAACUUUAAAUGAACAUGUACUUCUCUGUUUUCUUCACAUUGCUUUGUCUCUAUAUACAUUUCUUUUAAAGUACUCAUUUUUAUGACCAACAUAUUAUUAAUAGUAAUGUUCUGUUAUUACUUGGUUAUUUAAUUAUAAAUUAAAAUACAUAGCUCACAGGAUUUUUGACCAGAACUAAGCAAGAAAUUAAAAUAUAAAUGAGAAACUAACCUAAUUUGUGAAUAACAUUUCUCUGAAAUCAAUUAUCUUAUUUUCAUAGGAAACACAAUUAGAAGGAGAAAUCUGUCUGCUAAAUUCAUCUAAAAGAAUGCAAGAGUUAUUGGGCUAUAGGAAAAUACUCUCUCUGAACAGGAUUUUCCUUUUAUUCUUCCCCUUCCAGUGAAGGAUUUUACUGCCUCUUACCUGCCUGGAGCUUGAGAUUUGAGGCCACAUAAAUAGCUAAUCUGGAAAUUUCAAACCAAUGUUUUCAAGGGUAGUUACAUGCUCUCCCCUUUUCUCCUUGAAUUAUCCAGUCAACAUUCUUGAUCUUGCCAGUGUUGGUACAGCCACCAAGUCACGAUGCUCGGCCGUGUAACCUUGCACCCUCUGAGGAAGGGGGGAGUCUUUUUUGGAGCCCCGACAUCAUUCUCCUGUUCAGACCAUCUUGCAGGGCAGAAAGUAUCACAGGAAGGCAGAGCCUGAGGGUCUUGUACUGAACAAACCUUAUUCUUGAUAUUUUGUGUUAAAGAUAAUGCUAGCAAACUCUAGCAUUAAGAUGACAAGUGUCAUCUUUUUGGGAGGGUCAUUCAGCCCUGUAGCACUGUGAAGGCUGUGCUGAUGGAGCCAAGAUUCCCUCAGACAUAGUUUAUGGCAAAGGUUGUCAAAGGAUGGUCCCUGGACUGACAGCGUCAGCAUUAUUUGGGAACCUGUCAGAAAUGCAAAUUCUUGGGCCCCACCCCAGACCUGCAUCAGAAUCUCUGGGGCGGCACCCAGCAGCAUGUUUAGCAAAUCUGCAGGGGAUUCUGAUGCAAGCUCAAGUUUGAACUACUGGUUUAUAGCACAUUUCAGCUCCUCACAAACACAAACACAGGCACAUUUGGGGUAUUUCCUCAGUAAAGUGGGCUCUGGUCACAUUGAAACAGUGACUAUGUGCCUCUGUGUGUGUGUGUAUGUGUGUGUGUGUGUCGGGGGGUGUUGGGGGUAGAAGUGAUGAUCAGGAUUGACUGCAAUGACCCAGGAAGCAGGGGUCAGAGGUAUUUUCUAAGAACUGGAAAAUCUUCACUUGGAAUCCCCAAGGAUCGUAGAGCCAAGGUGGCCCGGCCUGGGUCUCAAUGCAUUAUGGCCUCAGGGAGUCCAGUCUGAGGGCAAGAUGGA
ensembl:lincRNA